ensembl:snRNA U4 U4 spliceosomal RNA
AGCUUUGUGCAAUGGCAGUAUUGUAGCCAAUAAGGUUUAUCUGAGGCGCAAUUAUUGCUAAUUGAAACCUGUUGGGUGUGGUGGUGCAUGCCUGUAGUCCCAGCACUUGGGGGUUGAGGCAGGAGGAUCGCCAUAAGUUCAGGGCCAGUCUGGGCUACAUCGUGAUUUCAAGGCCAGCCUGGGCUACAUAGCAAAACUUUGAGUCAAAAAUAAAUACAUAAAUAAAUAGAUAGAUAAUUUU